UACGUAGGGGGCGAGCGUUGUCCGGAUUCAUUGGGCGUAAAGCGCUUUAAGGCGGUUCGCUAAGUCGGGUGUGAAACCUCCAGGCUCAACCUGGAGACGCCACUCGAUACUGGCGUGACUAGAGUUCGGUAGGGGACCACGGAAUUCCUGGUGUAGCGGUGAAAUGCGCAGAUAUCUGGAGGAACACCGGUGGCGAAGGCGGCAUCCUGGACCGGUAUUGACGCUGAGGCGCGAAAGCCAGGGGAGCAAACGGG
rnacentral:rRNA from 1 species